rnacentral:misc_RNA from 1 species
GAUGAAGAACGAAGCGAAAUGCGAUAAGUAAUGUGAAUUGCAGAAUUCAGUGAAUCAUCGAAUCUUUGAACGCACAUUGCGCCCGCCAGUAUUCUGGCGGGCAUGCCUGUUCGAGCGUCAUUUCAACCCUCAAGCCCAGCUUGGUGUUGGGGAUCGGCACAGGCGCCCUCGGGCGCCCGCCGUCCCCUAAAUCUAGUGGCGGUCCCGCUGCAGCCUCCUCUGCGUAGUAGUUUUCUCCUCGCAAGGGCAGCUCGGUGGCGACCUCGCCGUAAAACCCCCAACUUCUGAAAGGUUGACCUCGAAUCAGGUAGGAAUACCCGCUGAACUUAAGCAUAUCAAUAAGCGGAGGA